ACCUUAUCCUCCUAAAGGUUUGGUGGACGAUUCAAAGAUCAAUUAUGCUGAUGUAUUGGUCUUUAUGGGGCUAUUCUAGAACUGUGCUUUUGAUCCGUCGCCUCUUUUGCUUGGCAUAUUUUUUAACACAAAACAAUGCCAAAGGUUUUAUGUUUGGUCGGUCUCCAACUCAUAAAACUUUUUAUUUACUGCGACAAUCGAAACCAAGAAACUGUUGAGAAUCCCUCCACUUUUCAUUUAUUUAUACCCAUUUUCACAUUUUCUUCCCCACGCCAAAAUAUUGAAAACCGUAUAACUUCAGAAAAUGGCUUUCAGAUCUGCAAAAUCCAUCGGGAAGGCUACAAGGAGGUUUUCUUUCUCCAAAAUUUGUUUUAGGGUUAUUGGAAAUUUGGCUUUUCUAGAAAAAGCUUCCAUUGAUUUUGCAGAUUUCCUUACAGAAGCAGACUAAUUGUCUUCAUUCCUCUCAAGUUUUCCAUAUCUGGUGUUGUCAUUGAAUGUAAUCUCUCUUCUCUUUUUGUUUUAAAGUAUUAGUAAGAAGAAAUAGUUCUUUAUUGUUGUGUGCAGGUUACAAUUGAGAAGAUCCAAGGAGCCAUUUAUUUAAGAUGAAAAUAAGGUCAAUACUUUCCAAGGAGGAUAGCUUCAGACGCCUACUGAGCAAUGGUUAUUUAGACGAAUAUAAUGAAGAUGAAAUGAGCUUAGAUGUUAACAGGGAUUAGAGUAUUGGUCUAGGAGGUUCAACUGAUUCCAUUGGUGAAUCAGGUGGAUGGAUGGUUCGGAAGAGAAUGCACACUUGCCAGUUCCUGCAACAAAGAAGGUGAAUUGAUGAUCAAACAGAGAGAGGUGAAACAUUGACACCACUUCUGAACAUGUACAAAGAAAUGCAAUUCUGUGAGGAUUCAAAGCUUAUGAAAGUUUUCUUAGAAGUAGUGAGAUCGCUCUAUGAACUUUUAGCUGCAUUGAUAGAUGAGAAAAAGUGGAUACAUAUUGUUGUGUAUUGGUCCUUGCCUAAAAGAACUUUGAGAUGUUUGCUAUGUUUUUUCAUCAGAUUAAAGGGUCAAUUAUACCGUUAAGACAAU